rnacentral:ncRNA from 1 species
GAGUUUGAUCCUGGCUCAGGACGAACGCUGGCGGCGUGCUUAACACAUGCAAGUCGAACGAUGAAGCCCUUCGGGGUGGAUUAGUGGCGAACGGGUGAGUAACACGUGGGCAAUCUGCCCUUCACUCUGGGACAAGCCCUGGAAACGGGGUCUAAUACCGGAUAACACCGGCUUCCGCAUGGGAGCUGGUUGAAAGCUCCGGCGGUGAAGGAUGAGCCCGCGGCCUAUCAGCUUGUUGGUGGGGUAAUGGCCUACCAAGGCGACGACGGGUAGCCGGCCUGAGAGGGCGACCGGCCACACUGGGACUGAGACACGGCCCAGACUCCUACGGGAGGCAGCAGUGGGGAAUAUUGCACAAUGGGCGAAAGCCUGAUGCAGCGACGCCGCGUGAGGGAUGACGGCUUCGGGUUGUAANNNUGGUGGAGUCGCCGUUGAAAUACCACUCUGGUCGUGCUGGAUGUCUAACCUCGGUCCGUGAUCCGGAUCAGGGACAGUGUCU